UGGGUAACCUGCCUCAUACAGGGGGAUAGCAGUUGGAAACGACUGGUAAAACCGCAUAAGCGCACAGUAUCGCAUGAUACAGUGUGAAAACACUCCGGUGGUAUGAGAUGGACCCGCGUCUGAUUAGCUAGUUGGCGAGGUAACGGCCCACCAAGGCGACGAUCAGUAGCCGGCCUGAGAGGGUGAACGGCCACAUUGGGACUGAGACACGGCCCA
rnacentral:rRNA from 1 species